AACGAACGCUGGCGGCGUGCCUAACACAUGCAAGUCGAACGUGAAAGUCCUUCGGGAUGAGUAAAGUGGCGCACGGGUGAGUAACACGUAGGUGACCUGCCGUUUAGAGGGGGAUAACCAGAAGAAAUUUUGGCUAAUACCGCAUACGAAGUACAAAUCUUAGAGUAGUACUUGAAAGAAUGCCUCUGUAUAUGCAUUUACUAAACGAUGGGCCUGCGGUGCAUUAGCUAGUUGGUGGGGUAAUGGCCUACCAAGGCGACGAUGCAUAUCCGGUCUGAGAGGAUGAUCGGACACACUGGAACUGAGACACGGUCCAGACUCCUACGGGAGGCAGCAGUGGGGAAUAUUGCGCAAUGGGGGAAACCCUGACGCAGCAACGCCGCGUGAGUGAGGAAGGACUUCGGUCUGUAAAGCUCUGUUAAUGUGGAAAAAUGCUUGUUGGUCUAAUAGGCCGGCAAGUUGAUGGUACACAUAGAGGAAGCACCGGCUAACUUCGUG
rnacentral:rRNA from 1 species